AAUGGUAUAACUUAAUGAUAGAGUGUCACUUUGAUAUGAUAAAAGUCAUCAGUUCAAGUCUGAUUAUCUCUA
rnacentral:tRNA from 1 species